rnacentral:rRNA from 1 species
UACGUAGGGUCCGAGCGUUGUCCGGAAUUAUUGGGCGUAAAGAGCUCGUAGGCGGUCAGUCGCGUCUGCUGUGAAAACUCGGGGCUUAACUCCGGGCCUGCAGUGGGUACGGGCUGACUAGAGUGUGGUAGGGGAGACUGGAAUUCCUGGUGUAGCGGUGAAAUGCGCAGAUAUCGGGAGGAACACCGAUGGCGAAGGCAGGUCUCUGGGCCACUACUGACGCUGAGAAGCGAAAGCAUGGGGAGCGAACAGG